UACGAAGGGGGCUAGCGUUGCUCGGAAUCAUUGGGCGUAAAGGGCGCGUAGGCGGCGCAGUUGGUCAGGCGUGAAAUCCCCGGGCUCAACCCAGGGACUGCGCUUGAUACGGCUGUGCUCGAGGAUGGAAGAGGGCCGCGGAAUUCCCAGUGUAGAGGUGAAAUUCGUAGAUAUAGGGAAGAACACCAAUAAAGGCGAAGGCAGUUAACUAUUCUAUUCCUGACAUUGAGGCAUGAAAGCGUGGGGAGCAAAACGG
rnacentral:rRNA from 1 species